UACGGAGGGUGCAAGCGUUGUUCGGAAUUAUUGGGCGUAAAGGGCAGGUAGGUGGUCUCUUAAGUCUGCUGUGAAAUCCCCGGGCUUAACUCGGGAAGUGCGGCAGAUACUGAGGGACUAGAGUGCCGGAGGGGUGCGUGGAAUUCCAGGUGGAGCGGUGAAAUGCGUAGAUAUCUGGAGGAACGCCGGCGGCGAAAGCGACUCUCUGGUCUGUAACUGACGCUGAGGUGCGAAAGCUAGGGGAGCAAACGGG
rnacentral:rRNA from 1 species